GGCACUGUGAUUACAUGGCCCUUUUCCUGGGCGAUAUACGCUAUUCCGAUUAGAAAAAUGAUGAGCUGAAAAUCCGGCAUGUUUCUUAUAAGAGCC
rfam:Eucalyptus grandis cultivar BRASTZ1 unplaced genomic scaffold scaffold_6, whole genome shotgun sequence.